AAGACACACAUGGCUCAGCUCCCAUCCUCAUCAAGCAGGAGCAGCCCUUCCUACACUUCUCCUGCCCUGCCCUAUUUAUAGAAACAUACCUGGGAUGUGCCUUGCCGUACAGAUGGACUCACUGGUAAAUGUCUUAGUGGGAAAUGCAGCAGUAAAUAGCAGCAGGCAGCUACGUCCAUGCAUUAGGAAAUGCUGUGCAAGUCUUCAGGAGGGGCUUCCUGCUGAAGGAUCUCUUGUGACAUGGGUUUGGUGCUUCCUGAUGGGGCUGAGAGGAAGAUGAGUAGGUUUCUCAGCAACUUUUGGGGCUUGAGGCAAUCCCUGCUUCAAGGGGGCUUCAGGCAAUCCCUGAACAGGACCUGGAAGCAGAGAAUGGCCCUGGGGAGCAGGGAAUCUCCUUCUGCCAGGCAGUGGGCACCAUGUGGAUUUGGGGAUUAUGGAACUGUGAAGUAAACUUGCCUCCUUAAGAUAGAUGAAAAAAUGGGCAGAAAAAAGCAUCCACUUGCUACAGCAGGCCCUGGCUGGGGCCAGAUAAUUGCUGCUGGCAGAAGCCCCCCCAGGCCCCUUGUCCUCUCAGCCAUCCAAAGUAUGUGGCCCUGCCUGGACUGAAUGACCCCUGCCUGACUUAAUCUUCUGCACCUUUCAAUCCACCAGCAUCUGAAGUCCGAGGCAGCUGUGUUUAUAUCCUGUAUCCUAACCUGCAAGUCAGUCUUGUGCCAACUGCUUCUGCCUGUCUGGGGAGACCACCCGCUUUCACAGGCAGUCCAGAUGGCUGCAGCUGUGGAUGGGAGCAUCACUGUGACACUUCUCCCAGCUAGGGACCCACUCAGUUCCUGUGCCUUUUCAGAAAGGUGUGCUUCUCCCAGCUGCAUGCCUUCCUUCUCCUAGGACAAACAUGGAAAAGACUAGAGGGUUGCACAAGAAGUGCAAGCUUACUAACACUGUUGGCAGUAAGUGUGCUUAGAUAUCUAACCCAAGUGCUAGUAGCCCAGUUCUCUCCAAAACUGGAGGAGGGAGGUGUGCACUUCCAACGUGGAGCAUCAAGGGAAAUUGCCCAAAGUGCCCUUUGGUAUAUGACUUCCACACUUACAGCUCUAGCUUUCACUCAGUGCUCAUGAUGCCUGAGUCUCUAAUCCUGCAGACUCAGAUCUAAUUUUCAGCUGCAACAAGCUAAAACCCUCAGAGAGUCUCAUUGGUUUCAGCAGAAUUAUUUGACUGUGUAAUGCAAAGGCUGAGUCCUUUCUUUUUAAAAAAGUACACCUAAUUUUGGUUUAUUGAAAUUCUUAGUCCUUCCUGAUCCUGAGAGUCAUAGGAAACUAUUUUCACAGAAAGUGAUGCACAACAGCCUGAUGGAGAUCACACUGAAUUCAAUGACCACAUUUUUGCAUUACUGUUAUAGGCAAUUGCAAGUUUCUGGCUGACUUGACACCAUAAAUAAAGUGUUUUACUUUACUAUCA